CGGAUGCUGUGACAAGGGGCGGGCGAGGGAGGGCUCCGCGUCAGGGGCAGACAGCUCCAGGUGCUGGAGGCUGCCGCGCGGAGAGGUCCGCCCAGCCAGGAUGUGCGUUGUCCUGAGAAUCGAAUUACCCGGAACCCCAGAGCUCACCCUCUCUGAAGGAGAGCAGGUGCCUCCUGAGAGCAGGGCUUCUCUACCUUGGGGCACUAUGAACAUUCUGAGUGGGGAUACCCUACAACUAACAGGCAUGAUGCCAUCAAGACAUCUUGAGCCUGGCUACCUCCCGUGGCCUGUAUUUUGUCCACAGGAAACUCGCGCAGUCUCACUACAGCAAAUUGAGGUGGUAUGGGGUGCCUGCUGCUGCCUCUCUCUUCACCUUUCCACAGAGGGCUGCCCCAGCCUGACUCCCACUUCCAGAGUUUCUCCAGCCAGGAGAAUCCUGAAAUCUCUGUAAAUAAGCAAUCCAGGAGCCAGAGAAUCAUGGGAUCUCAUAUAAACAAAUCAUCAAGGAAAAACACAGCCAGAGUCUCCAUUUGGUAAACCUCCGUGACUGGGGAUCCCCGGCCACCCAGAAAGCAGUAUUGCCUGCCAUGCAUGUCAUCACUGAUUUUUACUGCUGCAGCAGACUCCGUCAGACCUGCCUGCUGCUUCAGCGAAUUGUUCAGUGCACACCACCAGCUACCUGCUGUAAGCAUUCACACUCCUCUACCUGCCUGGCAGCAUUUCUCAGCUGAACACAGGCCAGGCCAGAAGUGCCAGGGAUUUAAUGCCCUUAGAAGUAGCUCUCUACCAAUGACAAAUGGAGCUGGUGGAUACAUUCUCAGCUUCCUCCCCUCUCAGGUGGAACAGCCCUGAGAUGUGCUCUAUGCAAUCUCCCACAAGUCCCCAGCAGGCUCAAGCUCCCAUUGUCCAACCCUGGUAACCUGCUCAUUGACACCCCUGUCUUGCCUUCCCUUCCUGGCCUCACUUUCUCACUCUCUUACUGUUGCCUCCUGAGAUCGCAUCCAAAAUAAAUGACCUGCACCCAGAU
rnacentral:lncRNA from 10 species